rnacentral:rRNA from 1 species
CGGAGGGUGCAAGCGUUGCUCGGAAUCACUGGGCGUAAAGCGACCGCAGGCGGCCUGACAAGUCGGAUGUGAAAGCCCUGGGCUCAACUCAGGAACAGCAUUCGAAACUGGUAGGCUCGAGUACGGGAGAGGGGGGUGGAAUUCCUGGUGUAGGGGUGAAAUUCGUUGAUAUCAGGAGGAACACCGGCGGCGAAGGCGGCCCCCUGGCCCGCAACUGACGCUCAUGGUCGAAAGCGUGGGGAGCAAACAGGAUUAGAUACCCUGGUAGUCCACGCCGUAAACGAUGAUUGCUAGGUGUUGGUGGUAUUCACCCCAUCAGUGCCGAAGUUAACGCAUUAAGCAAUCCGCCUGGGAAGUACGGCCGCAAGGCUAA